UUGAUUUGUGACCCUGACUAUAGCUGGUAUUCCUUAAUGACUGGUUAAGGACUCCACUUUCAGAUAAAACAUAGACCUGAAUGGCAUCAUCCAGUAUCCAGGGAAACCAUGUAAGGACCUCUCUCACUGUGUACUUCUCUUAUUCAGAGUUUAAAAGCUAGCUGAGUACUGAAUAACCACAUGAUGGAUGGAAGAACCAGCUCCCUCAAGUUCUUCUUCGACUUCCACUGGCUUGCUUUGUCACACCCAACCAAAUAAAGAAAUAUAAAAAAUUGAUGGCAUGA